UACGGGGGGAGCAAGCGUUGUUCGGAUUUACUGGGCGUAAAGGGCUCGUAGGUGGCCAACUAAGUCAGACGUGAAAUCCUCAGGCUUAACCUGGGAACUGCGUCUGAUACUGGAUGGCUUGAAUUCGGGAGAGGGAUGCAGAAUUCCAGGUGUAGCGGUGAAAUGCGUAGAUAUCUGGAGGAAUACCGGUGGCGAAGGCGGCAUCCUGGACCGAGAUUGACGCUGAUGAGCGAAAGCUAGGGGAGCAAACGGG
rnacentral:rRNA from 1 species